UACGUAUGGUGCAAGCGUUAUCCGGAUUUACUGGGUGUAAAGGGUGCGUAGGUGGCAAGGCAAGUCUGAAGUGAAAAUCCGGGGCUCAACCCUGGAACUGCUUUGGAAACUGUUUAGCUGGAGUACAGGAGAGGUAAGUGGAAUUCCUAGUGUAGCGGUGAAAUGCGUAGAUAUUAGGAGGAACACCAGUGGCGAAGGCGACUUACUGGACUGCUACUGACACUGAGGCACGAAAGCGUGGGGAGCAAACAGG
rnacentral:rRNA from 1 species